rnacentral:rRNA from 1 species
UUAAGCGACUAAGCGUACACGGUGGAUGCCUUGGCAGUCAGAGGCGAUGAAGGGCGUGCUAAUCUGCGAUAAGCGCCGGUAAGGUGAUAUGAACCGUUAUAACCGGCGAUACCCGAAUGGGGAAACCCAGUGUGACUCGUCACACUAUCAUUAACUGAAUCCAUAGGUUAAUGAGGCGAACCGGGGGAACUGAAACAUCUAAGUACCCCGAGGAAAAGAAAUCAACCGAGAUUCCCCCAGUAGCGGCGAGCGAACGGGGAGGAGCCCAGAGCCUGAAUCAGCAUGUGUGUUAGUGGAAGCGUCUGGAAAGGCGCGCGAUACAGGGUGACAGCCCCGUACACAAAAGCGCAUGUGCUGUGAGCUCGAUGAGUAGGGCGGGACACGUGGUAUCCUGUCUGAAUAUGGGGGGACCAUCCCUCCAAGGCUAAAUACUCCUGACUGACCGAUAGUGAACCAGUACCGUGAGGGAAAGGCGAAAAGAACCCCGGCGAGGGGAGUGAAAAAGAACCUGAAACCGUGUACGUACAAGCAGUGGGAGCCCCACCACUAAGCCAGUGGUGAACUCCACAUCCGCAUCCUUUGCUGAGGAUACGGUUAACGGAGCGAAAGCGACGUUCAACCGCAAAACAAGCAGAGGGGGCUUAGUGGUGGGGUGACUGCGUACCUUUUGUAUAAUGGGUCAGCGACUUAUAUUCUGUAGCAAGGUUAACCGAAUAGGGGAGCCGGAGGGAAACCGAGUCUUAAUUGGGCGUUAAGUUGCAGGGUAUAGACCCGAAACCCGGUGAUCUAGCCAUGGGCAGGUUGAAGGUUGGGUAACACUAACUGGAGGACCGAACCGACUAAUGUUGAAAAAUUAGCGGAUGACCUGUGGCUGGGGUGAAAGGCCAAUCAAACCGGGAGAUAGCUGGUUCUCCCCGAAAGCUAUUUAGGUAGCGCCUCGUGAAUUCAUCUCCGGGGGUAGAGCACUGUUUCGGCUAGGGGGCCAUCCCGGCUUACCAACCCGAUGCAAACUGCGAAUACCGGAGAAUGUUAUCACGGGAGACACACGGCGGGUGCUAACGUCCGUCGUGAAGAGGGAAACAACCCAGACCGCCAGCUAAGGUCCCAAAGUCAUGGUUAAGUGGGAAACGAUGUGGGAAGGCCCAGACAGCCAGGAUGUUGGCUUAGAAGCAGCCAUCAUUUAAAGAAAGCGUAAUAGCUCACUGGUCGAGUCGGCCUGCGCGGAAGAUGUAACGGGGCUAAACCAUGCACCGAAGCUGCGGCAGCGACGCUGAUGCGUUGUUGGGUAGGGGAGCGUUCUGUAAGCCUGCGAAGGUGACCUGUGAGGGUUGCUGGAGGUAUCAGAAGUGCGAAUGCUGACAUAAGUAACGAUAAAGCGGGUGAAAAGCCCGCUCGCCGGAAGACCAAGGGUUCCUGUCCAACGUUAAUCGGGGCAGGGUGAGUCGACCCCUAAGGCGAGGCCGAAAGGCGUAGUUGAUGGGAAACGGGUUAAUAUUCCCGUACUUGGUGUUACUGCGAAGGGGGGACGGAGAAGGCUAUGUUGGCCGGGCGACGGUUGUCCCGGUUUAAGCGUGUAGGUGUGUGUUCCAGGUAAAUCCGGUUCACUUUAACACUGAGGCGUGAUGACGAGGCACUACGGUGCUGAAGCAACAAAUGCCCUGCUUCCAGGAAAAGCCUCUAAGCAUCAGGUAACAUCAAAUCGUACCCCAAACCGACACAGGUGGUCAGGUAGAGAAUACCAAGGCGCUUGAGAGAACUCGGGUGAAGGAACUAGGCAAAAUGGUGCCGUAACUUCGGGAGAAGGCACGCUGACACGUAGGUGAAGUGAUUUACUCAUGGAGCUGAAGUCAGUCGAAGAUACCAGCUGGCUGCAACUGUUUAUUAAAAACACAGCACUGUGCAAACACGAAAGUGGACGUAUACGGUGUGACGCCUGCCCGGUGCCGGAAGGUUAAUUGAUGGGGUCAGCGCAAGCGAAGCUCCUGAUCGAAGCCCCGGUAAACGGCGGCCGUAACUAUAACGGUCCUAAGGUAGCGAAAUUCCUUGUCGGGUAAGUUCCGACCUGCACGAAUGGCGUAAUGAUGGCCAGGCUGUCUCCACCCGAGACUCAGUGAAAUUGAACUCGCUGUGAAGAUGCAGUGUACCCGCGGCAAGACGGAAAGACCCCGUGAACCUUUACUAUAGCUUGACACUGAACAUUGAGCCUUGAUGUGUAGGAUAGGUGGGAGGCUUUGAAGUGUGGACGCCAGUCUGCAUGGAGCCGACCUUGAAAUACCACCCUUUAAUGUUUGAUGUUCUAACGUGGACCCGUAAUCCGGGUUGCGGACAGUGUCUGGUGGGUAGUUUGACUGGGGCGGUCUCCUCCUAAAGAGUAACGGAGGAGCACGAAGGUUGGCUAAUCCUGGUCGGACAUCAGGAGGUUAGUGCAAUGGCAUAAGCCAGCUUGACUGCGAGCGUGACGGCGCGAGCAGGUGCGAAAGCAGGUCAUAGUGAUCCGGUGGUUCUGAAUGGAAGGGCCAUCGCUCAACGGAUAAAAGGUACUCCGGGGAUAACAGGCUGAUACCGCCCAAGAGUUCAUAUCGACGGCGGUGUUUGGCACCUCGAUGUCGGCUCAUCACAUCCUGGGGCUGAAGUAGGUCCCAAGGGUAUGGCUGUUCGCCAUUUAAAGUGGUACGCGAGCUGGGUUUAGAACGUCGUGAGACAGUUCGGUCCCUAUCUGCCGUGGGCGCUGGAGAACUGAGGGGGGCUGCUCCUAGUACGAGAGGACCGGAGUGGACGCAUCACUGGUGUUCGGGUUGUCAUGCCAAUGGCACUGCCCGGUAGCUAAAUGCGGAAGAGAUAAGUGCUGAAAGCAUCUAAGCACGAAACUUGCCCCGAGAUGAGUUCUCCCUGAGACUUUAGGUCUCCUGAAGGAACGUUGAAGACGACGACGUUGAUAGGCCGGGUGUGUAAGCGCAGCGAUGCGUUGAGCUAACCGGUACUAAUGAACCGUGAGGCUUAACCUU